GUGCUCACUUUGGCAGCACCGAUACUAAAAUUGGAGUGAUACAGAGAAGAUUAGCAUGAGGCCCUGCAGAGGGAUGACACACAAAUUCAUGAAGCUGGGCUUU
ensembl:snRNA U6 U6 spliceosomal RNA